AAAAAAUUUAUUACAGUGUGUUCUCUCUUAUGAUGGAAUCAAUUUAAAUUCUGGCCUCAGAGAAGCAAUACUUUUCAAAGCAGCAUGCAAGUGCUGUAAGUGACCUCAGAAAUGCUUAGAAUCUUCCACGUUAGGAGGUACGGAAAAUCUGAGGGAUGGACACUCCUUUCAUAAAUCACACUCCAGUCAGGAAGUGUUCUGAAAGAGGCACUUACCCAAAAUUUAAUAUUCAUGAACUAUUGAAAAGAAGAAGAGUAAAUGACUAUGUGAUAUUUCCCUAUUAUUUUCAGACUAGUGAAACCUACUCGUAACUUUGACCUUAAAACUAAAAAGACCACUUCAUUCCCCCAGUUUUAGAAUCAUGAAUCCACACCAGGCAUUUCCAUUCCCUAGGCUGGCUGUACACGUUCUUACUCUUUCUUUGAGGCCAUCCAUCUAUUGAAUGUUUUUUUUAUCCUUCCUUUUCUAGCUUUACUGUACUUUUAUAAGCAUUUACUUGUUUGCUUUAAUUAGAAUUAAUUGCUCUUUCCUCCCCACCCUCCCAGCACUGAUGCAGCCAUUCUCAACUCCAUCAUAGUGUGUUUUCCACUGGGGCUCCUCAUGUGUGUAUUUGAUUUCCUUCCCUACUUCUACUUUUUAAACAAAUAAAAGCUGGGUCUGUCUUUAUGUAGGAGAAGUGGGAAUCUAAAUUGGGGGAGCUUCUCCAGGGCCACACAGCUAGUUGCAGCUUCACUUUAGACUUGAUGAAAUUUGUUCUAGUUUAUUUUCCUUGUCCAUUUGUCCUACAAUAAAUUACUUCUUCUCUGUUUUCCCCAAAUUAGUGCAUGAUAUUCAUGAGGAAUCUCUAAAUAAUAAUUAAGCCUUCACUUCUGGGUGGUAUUCUCCCAUAUGAGAAACAGAAUGUAGUUUUUCAUAGACAUAUUAUUACUGUCCACAGAGCUUAGAGGCAAGAGAAUAGGAAGACUCUAAAUUCAGGAAGUCAUGCUAAGUUCAAAUGGUAUUAGUGCAGGCAUCCCACAUUCCUCCUGGCAAUGGCUGUAAAUCUCCAUCCCUAACUCCCUCACCUGCCCUCUGCUCUCAGCAGGUGGUCAUUUCUUGUUCUAAAAGAUUUCUCAUUCUCAAAUGUUAAUAUAACUAAUCAUAUGGAAAGCUUGUUGUAUUAUAGCUUUGGGGAGCUUUCUCCCCAGAGACUCUGACUCAAUAAAUCAGGAUCAAGGUGGGCACAUAAAACUUGCUUUGUUUUGUUUGCUUGCUAGCUUUUGUUUCUAACCAGCUUGUAAAUGAUGUGAAGGCAACUGGACCAAUGGCUGAAGUUUGAGAACCACUGAUUUAAGCCAACCUGUGAAAUAGGAUGUUUACUCCAAUAUAAAUCUCCCUAGAUUCCAGCAGUCUAGAGGGUAAGGCACAUAUACAGAGCCAAUCUGGAUUCUAUAGUAAGCCUUUGUUUC
rnacentral:lncRNA from 1 species